rnacentral:sRNA from 1 species
AUUAAAGAAAUGGUGCUGAAUGGGAAUAAAAGGAAGCACACCACACGGCCAUUCACGUACAACAGCUAGGAAUCUUCUUUCGUUGUAGAAGACACAAAUGGAGGGGGCCACCACUUGGUUGAAAGCUCACGUCCAAGGAGCUCAAAAAAAAAAAAGAUAAAUGCAAGGUGCUACAAAAUAUGGGGUCCAUUCACCAUUUAGAAUGUCAUCUUUUCAUUUGGAAAGGAGAAGCAUGUUCACGGACUCAAUCUGGAAUUAAAAUGGGGGACACCAAGUUGACAAAAAAAAAAACUCACGGCCUAACAUCCAAGACAUAAUGGAUUCACGGCUGAAUUGCUUUCAAAUGAAGAAUUUUGGAACAGGAAAGCCAAUUGAAGUCAAAGAAGGGACCACUAAGAGUUCACGGUUUUGAGAAGCAAUGGAGCAAGUUCACGGCCCACAUGGAAAAGAGAAGCUUUUGAAAUUUUAAAUUGCUAAAUGAAGUGUUGAGGCAUGAUAAAAGCUCACGGUCAUUUCAAGUGGCGGAGGCAGCAGCAAAGAGAAGGAGGUGUGCUUGGCUUUGAAAAGGAAAAGAGGCAGCCGACACGGGAACUGAGGGGGAGAAGCUUUAAGUGGGAAUGAAACUGAGGAAGCAAAGGAAAAAUGGCUAAGGUUCAUCCGGCAACACACAAAAGGAGAUUCACUUCUUCAUUUUAGAGAUUCUGGAAGUAGGAAAGAAGAAGAAGGGAGGAAGAGGUGGACACUGUGGUAGGAGGUUGAAACGGCACAAGAGAAACACAUGAAGGGAUUGAUUCAAGGUUUGCAAGGAAGUCUUCAAGAGAUGUGGUUGAGGAAAUACCUCUGGAGCAAGAGCUGGAGGAGAUCGAUGCUGCUGCACAGUCUACUUAGUAUUUAGACGUUUAGAUCUCGGGAUAUAAAAUACUCUGAACUUUCUAAGUCUAAACUCUGUAUUAGGUUCUGGAUGACUGUAAUUUCGUGUUUAAUUGCAAGUCAUACUCUAACUGUUCUCUUUAUUUGGAAUGUUGACCCC